GAUGAACGCUGGCGGCGUGCCUAAUACAUGCAAGUCGAGCGAACGGACGAGAAGCUUGCUUUUCUGAUGUUAGCGGCGGACGGGUGAGUAACACGUGGAUAACCUACCUAUAAGACUGGGAUAACUUCGGGAAACCGGAGCUAAUACCGGAUAAUAUUUUGAACCGCAUGGUUCAAAAGUGAAAGACGGUCUUGCUGUCACUUAUAGAUGGAUCCGCGCUGCAUUAGCUAGUUGGUAAGGUAACGGCUUACCAAGGCAACGAUGCAUAGCCGACCUGAGAGGGUGAUAGGCCACACUGGAACUGAGACACGGUCCAGACUCCUAAGGGAGGCAGCAGUAGGGAAUCUUCCGCAAUGGGCGAAAGCCUGACGGAGCAACGCCGCGUGAGUGAUGAAGGUCUUCGGAUCGUAAAACUCUGUUAUUAGGGAAGAACAUAUGUGUAAGUAACUGUGCACAUCUUGACGGUACCUAAUCAGAAAGCCACGGCUAACUACGUG
rnacentral:rRNA from 1 species